rnacentral:rRNA from 1 species
UACGUAGGGUGCGAGCGUUGUCCGGAAUUAUUGGGCGUAAAGGGCUCGUAGGCGGUCUGUCGCGUCGGGAGUGAAAACUCAGGGCUUAACCCUGAGCCUGCUUCCGAUACGGGCAGACUAGAGGUAUGCAGGGGAGAACGGAAUUCCUGGUGUAGCGGUGGAAUGCGCAGAUAUCAGGAGGAACACCGGUGGCGAAGGCGGCCAACUGGACAGAUACUGACGCUGAGACUCGAAAGCGUGGGGAGCAAACAGG